ensembl:lncRNA
AUGUACCAGAAUCAGUGGAUCCACCUACUUCCGAGGAGGCGUUUUGACCAUGGAUGCCAAACGUCAAGAGCAUCUCAGUGGAUCCCAACGGUAACUCAAAACUGUUUCUCAAGUCAAACCCUCAAAAGCAACAUUUACCACAGUAAAACUGUGGACUGUUUUUAUUAUGCUUCGAGAUGGCUCCGUAAGAUUGCAUGAAGCUGGUUCAUGCUUUCCUGGGAAUAAUCCUCAAACUCCAUAAGCCACAAAUUAAAGUUGUUCAGAAAUUCUCACAGCGUGUCAAAGGUUCAACUCACCCCAAUGAAUGAAGUUUCCAGUGUUUCUAUAUCCUCGAAAUAAAGACGUCAAAGCAAUUAAUCCUCUCCAAAUUCCUGUAUGAACAACAUACAGGGGUGAAUGUACCACAUUUUUUCUGUAAUGUAAUAUAAUAUAUUUAUUGUAAUAUAUAUGACAGAUUCUGAUUAUUUUGGUUAAGAAGUAUAUUUAUACUCAUCAUUGAAACCCAUUUUAAUUACAACAUAUUUUUGCUAAAACAAAGCUGAUAAACAUAUGGGUAGAGAUGUAAAUGAGUGCUUUUGAUAAGAUGGUGUUUCCACACCAUACAUUAUCUUUAAUUACAGACUUAUUGGAAGCCUAGACAGAUUUUCCCAUCUACUACACGGUAAUACUGAAAUAUUUAGGAACUGGAACGUCACACAGUAAAGAUAAUUACAUACUAGUUUUGCAUAUUCAAAUUUGUCUCUACAGUCACAUACAUAUUCAUAUCUGAGUAGAGUUGCUUGUUGCAAAACUUUGAUUUUUAAGGCCCAGUUCUUACUGCACUGCAUGUAUCCUUUAUGAUAAACACAAUCCCAGAAUGCUUUGCGACAAACUUAGUGAAUAAUACAUGAUUAAGGAUGACGUGAGAUAAAUGAUGGUUAAACCAUUCAAUACUGGACAAACGUGUGAAAAAAGUUAAAUCUACUACAAACUGAAUGUUUAUUUUUAUGCUUUUCACAGUAUCAGACUGAUAGAUUAGCAACAUGUUAAUAGCAAACUAUAAGAAUCAACUGUCGGAUCUCCAGAGUUCAGGUUUGCCCUGCUGACAUAAACAUAAUUAACCAGCCUAUAUGGUUUUCUGAUCUUAGUUGGUGUAUUUUCAGUCCAGCAGACCAUCUUAUGCUGGUUUAAUUAGGUUUUGGUGCCUAUAGAAAGCAUUCCAAAACAGGUUCCAUGAUGGCUAGGAUACUUGCUAAGAAGGCAGCUGCCUAUGGUCCCGUUUACACUAGUGCAUUUUCGUUUUAAAAUGGUGUUUACGAUCCUCGUCUACACUGGCGUUUCCGCUGUGUUUCAGAAACGAUCUCCGUUUACACUACACAACCUAAAACGCAUGUCACGUGACCAUUCAUGCAGGUACAGCCAUAGAUAUGAAUAGGUAGAUUCCCUGUUAUUUAGAUCAUGGACGCGUCUACGUGCUUGCAGCGAUCGAAUGGGGAAUCUACCUAUACAUCUAUGGGUACAACAAUGUGCAUGAUGUUACUGAAAAUGGGCAGCCAAGCCAUCGUUUUCAAAAGUCUCCAUUUUGGUCCAUUUACACUGAAAUGCAACCCCUGAGUUUUCAAACUAAAACGGGGUCUGCAGCGUUUUCAAGAGUCUUUGAAACGAAAACGCCGGAGUAGUGUAAACGAUAGGUGUAACCGUAGCAAAAGUUAUUGUUGCCGGAGGUCUCUACAGGGAGCUGGUAGAGUCUCUGAGCUAGAAAGGUGUUGACGUAGGUUCUCAGUGCGUGUGGGAAGGGUUUCUGAUUGAGGCAGACUCUUAUUCAUGAAAAAUGAACAUGCUAUGGGAAAACUCAACAAUUCAGCCACCCUUUUGAGAAAGGAGGAAAGAGAAAGCGUGGUGAGGUUACGAUGUUCAGAUGUGUUUUUCAGAGGGAGUUAUGAGUGUUACUGUACGACUGUCUUCUGUGGAAUGCAAAAGGAGAGAUUUUGAUGAAUGUUCAUGCUGCAUUGUAUGCAUGAAAAUCACAACCAGGAGCCUUCCAACUCCUGAAUGAUGACAGAAUUAAAAUUUUUAAGUAAUUUGCAACUUUUUAUCUUACAUUAGUGAUUAUGUUCCUCAUAAUCAUCCUCCAACUCAUUAUUGGAAGAUUUUUUCCCUCAUAACUCCAAUUUCCCAGUCGCGUAAUUGGGACUUUCUUUCUUGUCAACUUUAUUUCACAAAAUUAACAUUCUAUUCUCACAAUUUACUUUCUUGCAAUUUGUGCAUAUUUCUCAUAUUUGCAUUUCUCACAAAUGCAAUUUUAUUUUUGAUAAUUGCAUUUAUUUUUUUUAUUUUUUUUCGUGUAUUGUAACUUUAUAUCUUGCAAUAUGUCUUUAUAUCUCACAAUUGGAAGAUGUUUUCCUUGUAAAUCCAAGUUUUUCUUAUUUUUUUCUCCCUCAAAAUUUAGAUUUUAAUUCCACAAUUUUCUUUCUUGCAACUGUGAAUAUUUCUUGUAAUUGCAUUUUUAUUACAAUAGCAACAUUAUUUUUGAGAAUUGCAAUUUUAUUUCUAAUAAUGUAAAUUUAUGUCUCACAACUUGUUACAUCCCACAAUCCAGU